ensembl:snoRNA small nucleolar RNA ACA64
ACAGUCUGAAAAUGACCCCUGGUAUUUGUUGUCAGGGGUAAGAUAACUGUGCCUAUAGUGAUGCGGCGCAUUAAGCUUAUUGCCUGCUCCGUGUAGCAGUGUGAUUAAACCCAUGCGCCCACAGAC